rnacentral:rRNA from 1 species
UACGUAGGGUGCAAGCGUUGUCCGGAAUUAUUGGGCGUAAAGGGCUCGUAGGCGGUCCAUCGCGUCGGGAGUGAAAAGCUGGGGCUCAACCCCAGUCCUGCUUCCGAUACGGGUGGACUAGAGGUAUGCAGGGGAGAACGGAAUUCCUGGUGUAGCGGUGAAAUGCGCAGAUAUCAGGAGGAACACCGGUGGCGAAGGCGGGUUGCUGGACCUUAACUGACACUGAGGGACGAAAGCUAGGGGAGCGAAUGGG